UACGGGGGGGGUAAGCGUUGUUCGGAAUUACUGGGCGUAAAGGGCUCGUAGGCGGCCAACUAAGUCAUACGUGAAAUCCCUCAGCUUAACUGGGGAACUGCGUGUGAUACUGGAUGGCUUGGAUUUGGGAGAGGGAUGCGGAAUUCCAGGUGUAGCGGUGAAAUGCGUAGAUAUCUGGAGGAACACCGGUGGCGAAGGCGGCGACCUGGGUCGAGACUGACGCUGAGGCGCGAAAGCGUGGGGAGCAAACAGG
rnacentral:rRNA from 1 species